UACGGGAGGUGCGAGCGUUGUCCGGAAUCACUGGGCGUAAAGGGCGCGUAGGCGGCCUGAUAAGUAGGGGGUGAAAUCCUGCGGCUUAACCGCAGGGCUGCCUUCUAAACUGUCAGGCUAGAGCACAGUAGAGGCAGGUGGAAUUCCCGGUGUAGCGGUGGAAUGCGUAGAGAUCGGGAAGAACAUCAGUGGCGAAGGCGGGGUCUCUGGACAGUUCCUGACACUGAGGCACGAAGGCCAGGGGAGCAAACGGG
rnacentral:rRNA from 1 species